ensembl:lncRNA
GUUUUACUUCUAGUUGAUUGUGGUUAGAUUUUAUUGUCAUUGCAGAGUUUAUUAUUGGGCAUUCCUGCUUGGGUUCAUUGUGACUCUUUAGUCAUUUCUGUUUACUUCUUGUUAUUUUAUAAUCCAGAUAAUGUUAGUGUUAAGAGUUAUUUAAAGGUAUAUCCUUGUCUUUUUAUGUAUUUAAGACCAGCCUCCUCUAGUGUUUCCUCGUAUGCCAUUGUCAUAUCUAUUUAGUGGUUUGUUUACUUUCUGUUUUAUCUGAAAGUCCCUUGUGUGUGCUUACAUAGUCCUGCCCUGCCUGUCAGUCAUUGUUUCAGUAUCUGUUUGUGUGCUCUUGUGUUCUCCUCGUGAUCCUUUUUGGAAGUUUUCUUAUUUUUUAUUCUCAUUUCUACUAUUCGCUGCCCGGUGUUGUCGAUUACUCCUCGACCUUAAUAAAAGGAGAUAUCAAUUCUUCUAGUUGCACUUACAGCCCCGAUGGGAAAGAGGGAGCGUGAAGACACCCAGAUGUCCAAGAAGAUGCCAACUUCCCCAUUUGACUACAGCAGUUCAGAUGAUGCUUCCAAUCAGGUUCCAUCAAAUAGCCAGGACUAUUUCAACAACAGACCUUCAGAGACAACAAGUAACCCUUACAGGCUGUACCCCAACAGACCUCAACAGACAACAAGUAACCCUUACAGGCUGUACCCCAACAGACCUCAACAGACAACAAGUAACCCUUACAGGCUGUACCCCAACAGACCUCCACAGACAACAAGUAACGAGUACAGCCAGUUCAACAAUCAGCAGGUCCAGAGCAGCAGUGCCUCCACAGAUGAUCCGAAUCAUGUCCGGCUCAUAAACCACCUUCAGUUCAACAGCAGACCCCAACAAACAACAAGUAAUGAUUACAGACAGUAUCACACAGUCCACACAGACUUGGCCGCCUCCACAGACCUAGUGCGCAAUCUCCAACUGUCCAGAAUGUGUGGCUGUGUGGCUUGCCACAUCUUCUACUGUAACACUGUAGUGAGGCACAAUGCUCUUAGAGGCCGGGAAGGCGGUGUCAUAACAUUAGAGAUGGGCAUACAGAAUAGAGGCAAUAGGCGGAGCAAUGGCUUUAGAUACUUCAUCAGCAGAAGUGUUAUUCAUUAUCUAAUGGUGAUCCUAAUCAUUAUUUUUAAUAUUCUGCUUUUAGUAAUGUCACUCUUGUUUCAUGGCAGGAUAUAAAUUACUCUCUGAACAAACUGCCACCAGCAUUAGAUAAAAAUGUGGAAAAUUUUUUGAUUUCCUGGAGAUGCCAGUUAACUUUUUAAAAACAAAUGCAGUGGAACAAAUAACUCUAAUAGGGACUAAUUGAGAAAACUGGUGACAUCUGGCAAGGUGUAAAAAUCCUGGAGGAGCAUACUGUUCAGAUGUCCACUGUGGCAGGUAGCUCAGUACGGGCAGGCGGAGGUGUGCUGCUGGUUGUCCUGUGGUCUGACUAUGGCUACAGCAUGCAGUCAACAAGGUUGUGACCACUGGAGCAAAGAUUUGAGUGAAUUUAAUAUAUUGAACUUCUUCAUUUUACUUGGGAUAUUUACUUAUGUGCAACUUUGUUUUGCCAUAUUCUGUUUUCUUGAACUGGUCAUUUGAAAGAUUUCCCAUUUAAAGCAAAUUUGCACUGGCUGUUUCUUUAAUAUAAACUCAGUGGGUUAAUGCAGACUUUUUCCUGCUCCUGUGUCUUAAUAAACAACAAACUGGCACUUUCUGUAAUCACUCUGUGCAAGUCUUACCUUAAACUCCACCAGGGGGCAGCAUUUCACCAGUGCUAAAUAUUUUUUCUUAACCUUUGAGUUUUAUUUUCAGCCCUACUUCCAUGUCCUAGAAAGGCUUCAGCUUUUGACCGUAAUUAAGAAGGUGCUCCUAAUGACAGGUCUGGUUGACUCACUGCACCAUCUUGUGGCACAAAUUGGUUAAUACAUGAAAGCGGAGCCCAGGUACACCGAUAUUUUGGGCAUAAAGUUCUGGCCGUUCUUAAGAGCUUCAGUUCAUUUUGGAAGUAAUUUACAAAACCUUUAAGUGAAAAAAGAAAAGCACAAGCACACAGCUGCACUAUUGUGUGUUACCAACUAGUUUAAACGGUUUUAAAACAUGUAAAUGCUAAUGGGCUUUAAACAUGUUCACACUGAGAGUUAAUAACAGUCGGCCACUGCAUGCAUCUGUGGCAUUUCUAAACAAACCCAAGUUUAAUGUCUGUCUCUGUGUCUACACACACACACACACACACACACACACACACACACACACACACACAACUGUGUAUUUAUGUUGUGGUAUUGAGUAACAGGGCAAGAGGCGGAUGUGAUCCACCUGCAGCUGCUGUGCACAGCGAGCGGUUUGGAGAUUCAGGUCAGACUUGCGUUUUACACCUUCCUGCGAUCUGUGAGCUCUGACACGCUGAGAGCAGCUCGGCACACAUACAUUCAGUCAGUCUGUUUUCUCAUUUAUUUUGCAUGAGGCUGGCCAGACAGUCAUUCAGUGAGGAACUCCUGUUAUGCUACAGGAAGAAGCUGUUUGAUUUCUAACCACCUUUCCUCUGUCUCUGGCUGAAUAUUACUGAGAUGUCUGCUUGUGUCGGUGAUGACUGAUGGAUAAGUGUUGGCUUUACAGCGAGAUUUUAAUUGCGACUCUUCUGUGUAACUCAGAAUAGGAUUAAUCAUCUUAUUGCCUCAAAAUCUCUUUAUUUUUAUACUUAUUUAUAUUCUGUAUGAUUGUUUUUGCUUCUCUGUUAAAGCACUGGAUAAACUCUGUUUUUCUUUUUUAAAAAGGUGGCACUAUAGAAAUAAAGUUUUUAUUAAUGAGACAGCAUUGAAAUGUCAGAUAAAAAAAUAGAAAUAGAGUUAUAUGUUUCACAUGGCAACAGUGAGAGAAUAAUAAAGUGCACAUUAUUUUCAUACUAGGUCAGUUUUCAGCCUGAAAUGAGGAAAAUACAUGAAACCUGACCGAGGCUUUAACAUUGCAGGUAAACCAGUGGUUGGAGAGAGGUGGAAAACUGGAAGAAUCUGGAACUGGUUCUACAAAUAUUCACACAAAAGAUCAAACUCUGUAGUAGAUUUUUGUACUUGGGGAUUUCCUUGUUCGGCCAAGAAGAAGACUGCCAUGUUUGUGGUCUGCAACGGGAUUACAUUCAAGACAUCACUCAUGAUUUUGUCUAUUCUUUUUGGACAUGAAUGGACCUCCCUUACUAAAUGCACAUGAUGCACUUUGAGUAAUAUGAUAUAGGGGCUUCUCUGUGUUAUUUAUCUAUGACCUGAGUAAUGCAGUAAUAUUCCCUGAUCAGUUUAAAGUACAAUAAAAUGGUCUCACGUUUAAGCUCUCUGUUUGAUUUGGUUUUACUUUGCACAUGAUACAAAACACACAGAAAGUAAAUGAACACAAAACAAACGUGUGCCGAAUCAACUAAAUGACACAAUCUGAAAGAAAAAAAAGAUAAAAAACCUAUAAAGCAAAAUUAAACACUGACCAGUUUUAACGCUUUUUAUUUUCUGUACAUACAACAUUUUACAAAAGCACGAAAUCCAGAUUUUUAAUCACGACAUAAAAACAUAAAGAGGAUAAAAAAUGACAUGCAUCAUCUGUACGUUGCUGUAUUUGACACUCUUCUCCAUGCAGUUAAUUAAAACGUUAAAAUAAAUACACUAUUUUCUAUUUUAUCAGCAUUAACAAAAUGAAUCAAUUAACAGUAAAUUUGCACAAUGGAGUUGAGCAGUCAAUUAAUGUUUGACUUUCUGUCACACUUCAUCGAGGUAAUGGCCAUUGAUUGGUGGAGAAACAUCAGCGCUGCCAUGAAUUAUAAAAACAAUCUAAUACAUAACAGAAGAACAGAACAGGGAUGUAAAAUGCAUAAGAAUUUACUUUUCUCUUUGCUUUUUCUGAGUAAUAAAAAUAUAUCUCUACCAUUUACUGUUUAGGAAGCAUCUAAAUAAGAAGAGAAGCAGUUACCAAGAUAACAGGAUUUGAUCUUUAUCUAAUGCAGAUCACGUGACUUUUUUAAGACUACAGAGGAAAAUUAAAGAGAAGCGAGUCUAGUAUCGUUUAGUGCUUUUUAAAGCAUGUUUCAGUUUCUUAUGUAAAUAUGUAGUUUCAUUGAUUGAUCACAUCCUCUGUUUAUCAGCAG